rnacentral:lncRNA from 1 species
UUUACAGAAAAACCCUCCUUGUCCAUGCAUUUAAUAACUCACAAACGGUGCAUCAUAUGUAAAAACUUAAUAUAUGAAAAAUGCUUAAAAUUGUGUCUAGUUUAAUAAUUUGCCACUUUCAUCCAUGUUUGAAAUGUUUAAAAUGCUGUUUGUUUAAAUUUGCUCAAAUGCCAUGUUAAAAUGAUUUAAUUCAUAACUAAAUAACCGUAGCUCCAAAUUUAAUAAACUUUAUAUGUAAAUGGGGUGGAAAAAUGCCUAGUUUAAGAUGGUGCACUUUAUUUUGCUGUUUAACAACAUUAAAAUGGUGUUGAGGGAAGAACAGUACCUAAUACAUAAAUAUGCACAUGGGGAUUUUCCGGACUUGUUGUUCGUUGUUUCCGGCCUCAUUUAAACUUGCCUAGGUAGGUAGUUUUGUUAUGCUUCACCCCUUGCCAUGUUAAUCAACAUUUAAUAUUGUUGGGUACAUAAACGAGAUCGAACUAAAUAACUUGUCGUGGUGUUUUGUCAAUAUGCAACUCGUUGCAUAUUGAGCUCCACUUAACUUGUAGUAUCGUUUGUUGCACUUUGCCAUGCCAUGCCUAUUUAAACCGGACAUGCAUCAUACUUGAUUGUGCAUCAUGCCAUGUUUAUGCUUGUGUGUUUACCACGUUGUUUGUUUCUUUCUGGUGUUGCUUCUUAGUCCGGUAAUGUUGUGAUUAUGAGGAUUCGUCCGACUACUCCCGUUCGUCUUCUUCAUGGAUUCGUUCUUCUUCCUAGCGGGAUUUCAGGCAAGAUGACCGCUACCCUGGGUCUCACUACUAUCAUUGCUAUGCUAGUUGCUUCGUUCUAUCAGUAUGCUGCGCUACCUAUUACCUGUUUAUCAAGCCAUCCCAUAUUGCCAUGAACCUCUAACCUUUGACACCUUUCCUAUGCAAACCGUUGUUUGGCUAUGUUACCGCUUUGCUCAGCCUCUCUUAUAGCAUUCCUAGCUGCAGGUGAAGAUGAAGAUUGCUCCAUGGUGGACAGGGUUAUGUUGGGAUAUCACAAUAUCUCUUAUAUUAUUAAUGCAUCUAUAUAUUUGGUAAAGGGUGGAAGGCUCGGCCUUAUGCCUGGUGUUUUGUUCCACUCUUGCCGCCCUAGUUUCCGUCAUACCGGUGUUAUGUUCCCAGAUUUUGCGUUCCUAACGCGGUCGGGUGAUUUUUGGGACCCCCCUGACAGUUCGCUUUGAAUAAAACUUGUCCAGCAAGGCCCAACCUUGGUUUUACCAUUUGCCUCACCACCACCUACUUUUCCCUUGGGAGUAAUUAACCCAAGGGUCAUCUUUAUUAUAGCCCCCCCGGGCCAAUGCUUGUCUAAGUGUUGGUCCAAACUAGAGUACCGUGCGGGACCAUUCCUUGGCAACUUGGAUUCAUCGGUACCUGUACGCUUCGCUUAUCCGGUGUUGCCCUGAGAACGAGAUAUGUGCAGCUCCUAUCGGGAUUGUCGGCGCAUCGGGCGGUCUUGCUGGUCUUGUUUUACCAUUGUCGAAAUGUCUUGUAAACCGGGAUUCCGAGACUGAUCGGGUCUUCCUGGGAGAAGGUCUAUUCCUUCGUUGAUCGCGAGAGCUUGUCAUGGGCUAAGUUGGGACACCCCUGCAGGGUAUAAACUUUCGAGAGCCGUGCCCGCGGUUAUGUGGCAGAUGGGAAUUUGUUAAUGUCCGGUUGUAGAUAACUUGACACCAGAUCCGAAUUAAAACGCAUCAAACGCGUGUGUAGCCGUGAUGGUCUCUUCUCGGCGGAGUCCGGGAAGUGAACACGGUUUCUGGGUUAUGUUUGACGUAAGUAGGAGUUCAGGAUCACUUCUUGAUCAUUGCUAGCUUUACAACCGUUCCUUUGUUUCUCUUCUCGCUCUCAUUUGCGUAUGUUAGCCACCACAUAUGCUUAGUCGCUGCUGCAACCUCACCACUUUACCCCUUCCUUUCCCAUUAAGCUUUGCUAGUCUUGAUACCCAUGGUAAUGGGAUGCUGAGUCCUCGUGGCUCACAGAUUACUACAACAACAGUUGCAGGUGCAGGUUUAUGCGAUGAUCAUGACGCGAGAGCGAUGCGUGCUUGCGUUGAGUUCUUCUUCUGCUUCUUCGAUCAGGGGAUAGGUUCCAGGUCGGCAGCCUGGGCUAGCAGGGUGGAUAUUGUUUGAGUUUCUGUUUAUGAUUCAUCCGUAGUCGGAUGUUGAUCUCUUGUAUGAUGUAUUGUUGUAUUCGUGUGGCAUUAUAUGCCUUAUGUAUGUAUCCCUAUCUAUUAUGUAAUGUUGAUGUAAUGAUAUCCACCUUGCAAAAGCGUUUCAAUAUGCGGGUCUAUCCUUAGUGGGACCUUCGAGUUCCUUUUGGAUAGGGUCGCAUAUUGGGCGUGACACUCUCCCGCUCUCUCUCAAUCUUUCCGGCUCUAUCUGCUCCAUCUCCGCAAGCUCUCUCUACACAUUUCAUUCACACAUUGGGAUCUGUUCAAAAUGUUGCAUCUAUAAUGGAUCAUGUAGAGUUAUUGUUGGUUUUGUUGCAUCCUACAAAG